rnacentral:lncRNA from 1 species
AGUCCCGGGGCUUACCCGGGUGCAGAGAGCGAGGAGCACCAAGGCGAGGCUGAUGGGACCUGCGACGGAGGCGAGCAUGAUCGGGACGCGGUAGGAGGAUGCACAGCAGGGUGCAGAGGCGACGAGAGGCGCGGCCGGAGCCUGGAUUCGGACAGGGGCGGAGUGUUUUGUUUUUCAGAACCCUGUGCAAUAUGCACUGUGUGUGAAGACAGCAGAUCAUAGGGACCUUGGAGAUCAUUCAGCGGAAACAUGAGACCACCCCCUUCAGAGUAUACAAGGUGGAAGACAGCGCCGAUGGGGUGUGGCUUCCUGCUCUGAUAACCUCAAGGUUGGUAUGCUGAGUUGCUGGUGACUAAGCAAAGCCUGACACAGCUUCACAAGAGGUCCCUCAAACUCUGACCACCAUGGAGACUUGGCAAUCCAUUCAGACUACUUUGAGAAGCAGUUCAAAACUGAUUUGUAUUCUACGAUUCUCUUUCCUACCUUGUAUUUCUUUCUGUAAAAGAGUUGAGGCUGAUCUAAUUUUAGGAUUUGGCCAUUUGAGUUGAA